rnacentral:rRNA from 1 species
CGGCCCGGACUCCUACGGGAGGCAGCAGUGGGGAAUAUUGGACAAUGGGGGAAACCCUGAUCCAGCCAUGCCGCGUGUGUGAAGAAGGCCUUCGGGUUGUAAAGCACUUUCAGUGGGGAAGAAGGCAUGCCGAUUAAUACCCGGCAUGAAGGACAUCACCCACAGAAGAAGCACCGGCUAACUCCGUGCCAGCAGCCGCGGUAAUACGGAGGGUGCAAGCGUUAAUCGGAAUUACUGGGCGUAAAGGGCGCGUAGGCGGCUUGCCAAGCCGGAUGUGAAAGCCCCGGGCUCAACCCGGGAACGGCAUUCGGAACUGGCAGGCUAGAGUGCAGGAGAGGAAGGUGGAAUUCCCGGUGUAGCGGUGAAAUGCGUAGAGAUCGGGAGGAAUACCAGUGGCGAAGGCGGCCUUCUGGACUGACACUGACGCUGAGGCGCGAAAGCGUGGGUAGCAAACAGGAUUAGAUACCCUGGUAGUCCACGCCGUAAACGAUGUCGACCAGCCGUUGGACCCCUUGAGGGUUUGGUGGCGUAGUUAACGCAAUAAGUCGACCGCCUGGGGAGUACGGCCGCAAGGCUAAAACUCAAAUGAAUUGACGGGGGCCCGCACAAGCGGUGGAGCAUGUGGUUUAAUUCGAUGCAACGCGAAGAACCUUACCUGCUCUUGACAUCCUGCGAAUCUCCCAGAGAUGGGAGAGUGCCUUCGGGAGCGCAGAGACAGGU